GAGGGUAUAGCUGAGCAGUAGAACACGUGCUUAGCAUGCAUGAAGUCCUGGAUUCAAUCCCCAGUACCUCCA
rnacentral:tRNA from 1 species